GCCCAGACUCCUACGGGAGGCAGCAGUGGGGGAUAUUGCACAAUGGGGGGAACCCUGAUGCAGCGACGCCGCGUGGGUGAAGAAGCGCCUCGGCGCGUAAAGCCCUGUCAGCAGGGAAGAAAAUGACGGUACCUGAAGAAGAAGCCCCGGCUAACUACGUGCCAGCAGCCGCGGUAAUACGUAGGGGGCAAGCGUUAUCCGGAUUUACUGGGUGUAAAGGGGGCGCAGACGGCGAUGCAAGCCAGGAGUGAAAGCCCGGGGCCCAACCCCGGGACUGCUCUUGGAACUGCGUGGCUGGAGUGCAGGAGGGGCAGGCGGAAUUCCUGGUGUAGCGGUGAAAUGCGUAGAUAUCAGGAGGAACAUCAGUGGCGAAGGCGGCCGCCUGGCACAAAACUGACGCUGAGGUACGAAAGCGUGGGUAGCAAACAGGAUUAGAUACCCUCGUACC
rnacentral:rRNA from 1 species